rnacentral:rRNA from 1 species
AUACGUAGGGGGCAAGCGUUGUCCGGAUUUAUUGGGUUUAAAGGGUGCGCAGGCGGGAGAUUAAGUCGGCGGUGAAAUUUUGCAGCUCAACUGUAAAAGUGCCUUCGAAACUGGUUUCCUUGAGUGUAGAUGAAGUAGGCGGAAUUUGUGGUGUAGCGGGGAAAUGCAUAGAUAUCACGAGGAACUCCGAUUGCGCAGGCAGCUUACUAAACUACUACUGACGCUCAGGCACGAAGGCGUGGGGAUCAAACAGGAUUAGAUACCCUGGUAGUCCACGCAGUAAACGAUGAUUACUAGCUGUUUGCGAUACAAUGUAAGCGGCUGAGCGAAAGCGUUAAGUAAUCCACCUGGGGAGUACGUUCGCAAGAAUGAAACUCAAAGGAAUUGACGGGG